rnacentral:piRNA from 1 species
UNGCCCCUUGAGAUAGAUGGCUACUUUGCCU